UACGGGGGGGGCAAGCGUUGUUCGGAAUUACUGGGCGUAAAGGGCGCGUAGGCGGUUGGAUAAGUCAGCUGUGAAAACCACGGGCUUAACUCGUGGUCUGCAGUUGAGACUGUCUGGCUUGAGUGUGGGGAGAGGAGAGUGGAAUUCCUGGUGUAGCGGUGAAAUGCGUAGAUAUCAGGAGGAACACCGGUGGCGAAGGCGGCUCUCUGGACCACAACUGACGCUGAGGCGCGAAAGCUAGGGGAGCAAACAGG
rnacentral:rRNA from 1 species